rnacentral:rRNA from 1 species
GACGAACGCUGGCGGCGUGCUUAACACAUGCAAGUCGAACGGAAAGGCCCUGCUUUUGUGGGAUGCUCGAGUGGCGAACGGGUGAGUAACACGUGAGUAACCUGCCCUUGACUUUGGGAUAACUUCAGGAAACUGGGGCUAAUACCGGAUAGGAGCUCCUGCUGCAUGGUGGGGGUUGGAAAGUUUCGGCGGUUGGGGACGGACUCGCGGCUUAUCAGCUUGUUGGUGGGGUAGUGGCUUACCAAGGCUUUGACGGGUAGCCGGCCUGAGAGGGUGACCGGCCACAUUGGGACUGAGAUACGGCCGAGACUCCUGCGGGAGGCAGGAGUGGGGAAUAUUGCAAAAUGGGCAGAAGCCUGAUGCAGCCACGCCGCGUGCGGGAUAACGGCCUUCGGGUUGUAAACCGCUUGCGCCUGUGACGAAGCGUGAGUGACGGUAAUGGGUAAAGAAGCACCGGCUAACUACGUG